AUGAGAUUUGGCGUGCGGUCUUGUUAUGUUGUAGGUAGACCGUCUGCCAAGUUUCAUCGCAUUCGGAGUCCGUUUAAGGCCCCAACGGUUAACUAUAGCGACAGUAUAGCCGGUCGGGCGUUUUUGGUCUCCGAAAACAGUCGUCGGGUCUCUCUCUUCUCUUCUCUCAGCCCAAGGCUUUCCGCACAGCCCACUACCACUCACCGUCAGGCCCAACCUAACCUCUCCCGUCAGCCCGCGGCCCUCCUCACGCGCGCAUCCGAAAGCUGUCCCGGACCCGACCCGGACAGUCGUCACCGUUGGGUCCGGAUCAUCCCCAAACAUCUACAAAACAUCAUCGUUUUCUUAUUUGAACUCCCUACCUAUUUUUUUCGGAACGUCCGAUUACGAUCGGAGGGACCUAACCGCCAUAAACUGGUAUGUUUUGCUAUAUAUAGUUCCCCUUUGUCCAUUUCUAGACAAACCCUAAAUUCUAGGCAUGUUGUCCCUCGCGUCGCCGCCAGGAGCAUCUUCCUCGGGAUCCCUCCCGAUCCACCUACCUCAUCCUCUGUUUCUGCAUCUGACCAGCCCUCCCACGCCUCCACCUCGACCGCGGCCAUCUUCCACUGCCCGAGCUCCUCCUUCCCCGAAGCUCCUCCUCGUGCGCCCCCUCCUAGACCCUGCUGCCGGACCCGGACCCGGACGCCCCUGCGACCAAGCUCGCCAGGAGGCCACCAAGCCGCUACCUUCCUCCAACCUCGCUGCCUCGCCGCCGUCCGUCUCCGGCGACCGGAUCCCGCCGGAGCACCACCGAACAGGCCGACCUCGCCUCCCUUUCUCUCUCUCUACCAUUGCUCUCUCUCCAGCACCUCACCUCGCGGCCUCUCGUUCUUCAGGAUGAACAGGGACCUCGCCAUGGCCACUGGAUGGAGCUCCAUCGCUGUGGAUCCUCACCGGGAUCCGCCUCCCCGCAUCCAGAUCGGCCGGUCUCCUCCAUCCCCCUCUUUGUCUACUGCUAGGAGCGCCGCCACCUGUCUUCGUCGCCACCAACAGGGAGCACCAACGCCGCGCCGCCCCGGCGAGCCUGCCAGCCGGCGACCUCGACCUGCAAGCCGGCUUCGCGCCACCGCCCAAGGACCCCGCCGCCAUGGCCUCGAACUCUGCCGCCUCGCGUCGCCCUCCCCGUUGUCAAGUCCGCCGCUGCAUGCUCUGCUUCCCCUGCUCGCGGCGACCUCGCGCACCUGCAUCGAUGGGGGUCAACGCACCCGAGCGCGUUUAUCGGGUCCUUGCCCAGCCGCCUCUACGAGGCCACUCCACACGUGGGCCAGCUGGCCAUGCCAGGCCCAGCUCGCGCCGGCCCAAUGGCCACACUGGGUGAGGCCACACCCCAGCGCCCCACAUUUUGUUUUUUUCUCCUGUUGGGCUUGUCCCAGUUUCGGCCCAUACAGCAUUUUUUUUCCUGUCUGUGAUUUAGACAUUAUCCAGUGUUUCUCUGUUUUGCAAAAGAAACCUCAGCAUUCAUGCAUUUAA
rnacentral:rRNA from 1 species